GUGCAGAAAAUACUGUACCACGACGUUCCCGAGACCUCUGUGUGUAUUCUGACUGCCAAAGUUGUACCCUCUCAGAAAGUAAACGACAAGAAGCAGUGGCACCAUCCCUGGCUUCUUGUGAAGUAGCAAACUGGCAACAUAGUUGCUGCUCAUUGCACAUGCAAAGCAGGAGCUGGUGAGACAUGCAGCCAUAUUGCUGCUGUCCUGUUCAAGGUGGAAGCUGCCAUUAAACUGGGGUACACUAAUCCAGCAAAAACGAGCCAGGCUAACCAGUGGAAUCGAUGCUUUCGUGAGAAGGUGACGGGUCAACCACUUUCAGAAAUAAGCUUCCACAAGUCAAAGCAUGGCAAAACUCGCAAAACGAGACCACAACAACAACCAGCUGUGGUUGUGACGAUUGACGAGGAAGAGGUAUUAGGGCGGCUGAAAAAAGUAUGCCCAGAUGCUUGCGUAUUCUUAAAGGAUGACUCGGAGACGGACACAGCAUCAGAUGACGAGGACAUG